rnacentral:lncRNA from 1 species
CAAAGCCUUGUAUAACCACUUCCUUGAAGAUGUCUUCCAUUUUCUGAAACCACAUCAAUCCACCUAUUUGUAGAAGAGUUAGAAUAUCAAGACAUCUAAGGAAAAAUCAUACCUUGAAAAAUCACAUAUGAGGGCCUGGACGCGAUGUACUAUCAUGUGCCUGAAAGGUGAAAAGCUGGAAAUAUUUGGCAAAUUAAUAACCACCACAGUGUUUAACGGAUUCAAUAUCUAAACCAGCACUGUUAAACAAGGCAAGGUUAAUCAAUAUGUAAAAUACCCAAACUUGAAAUCAUAAAGUCAAGAAACACACAGAUAGCUCAACAAGACAAAAUAAUUUCUAUAUUAUAAGUUGAAUUAAACUCUGUUAACUUAAAUCACAGAUUGGAAAGUAACAGAUCGGAAAUAAUAUUUAAAUGUAUUAUAGAAUUUUAGGUAAUAAAAUUUAAAAUGCAAAUGUGUGAAAAAUAAAAACCCUGUAUUAACAGGAAUAAAGAGGAGAACAAAGGAACUAAAAGAAAAGGUAUAUAUUUUUCAAGGAUAAAACCAAAAUUCCCAAAAAUCCUGCAGGAAAGAGUGGACCAAGGAGAAGAACAACAGUGGAAAAUACUUGACCUUUGGCACAGAUGAAAGUUCACCCACAUAACCAAUGUGAUAUUAUUAAACAUAUACAUACACAUAUCUCUCAGAAGAUGGAAAUACAAUACUAAAAUUAUUCCCCAAAUGGCAUUAUUAUUUCUUUCUUCAACUCCACGAGAGUGUUCUGUCCAAAUAGACAGAACAGUGGAGUAAAGGAAGAGCUCCUAGUCCAGGGUAAUUUUCAGAAGAUCUUUGACUAUGCCUCUUAAUCGUCAGGAAGGCCUGCCAAUAAAUAGACCCUUGAAAUAAAAUGUUAUUUUAAACCAGAUUGAGGCAGUUUGGAAAUCUGUAACUCAACAUUAAUUUAUAUAGUACUGGAGAAUCUAAGAACGAAUAUUGGAGAUUGGAUUUCCAAGGCAAUAUCGAAGAAAAUGGUAUCAUGUUGAAUAGAGGAAUACGUAUUAUUUUAUAGAAGGGUCAAAUAUGGAGGAGGAUAAAUUAUUUACUAAUAAACAUAAUUAUAUGAUAACAAGAUUAGAAAAUUUAAGCAUAUUUAGAAACCAAGUGUUUGUCAAUCAAUCAAUUGAUUGUCAGUUAGUUGACAAAACUUAUAAUCUACUAAAUCCGGUAAUAUAAUCCUAAACUGUCAAAAUGCCCUUUUAAAGUCAGUGAAAUAUCAAUACAGAGAAAAGAAAUAUUUAGGGAGGAUUAUUAAAAAUAUGCAGGAGCCAGCCUGGUGGCGUAGUGGUUAAGUUCACACACUGGUUUGGUCACGUCGGGUUCGCAGGUUGGGAUCCCAGACACAGACCUCCACACUGCUCAUCAACCCACACUGCGACACUGUCCCACAUACAAAAUAAAGGAAGACUGGCACAGACAUUAGCUCAGG